rnacentral:rRNA from 1 species
GACGUAGGGGGGCGAGCGUUGUCCGGAUUUAUUGGGCGUAAAGAGCUCGUAGGCGGCUCACUAAGUCGGAUGUGAAAACUCCAGGCUCAACCUGGAGACGCCAUUCGAUACUGGUGUGGCUAGAGUCCAGUAGGGGAGUGUGGAAUUCCUGGUGUAGCGGUGAAAUGCAUAGAUAUCAGGAGGAACACCAGCGGCGAAGGCGGGUCUCUGGACAGUUCCUGACGCUGAGGCACGAAGGUCAGGGGGAGCAAACGGG